GAGGAACUGGGGUAGAUGGCCAGGCCAUGCCCCUUCUAGUUGGGACUGGACCAGUAAAAAUGGCACACCAAUGAGGCCACUUUGCAGAUGGGCGGGUGGGGAGCUGAAAGUGCAAUCCACGGUGCCAACAAGCCUCUGGAAAAAAGCAGGGUGGGAGAGAGCAGGCUGGAAAGUGGAGCUCAGUUGUCUAUGUCUGUCCGUCUGUCCGUCUGCCUAUCUGCUAGAGCCAGAACUUUGGGGUCACAGGCCAGGGCCUGGCAACAGUGAGGCACUCUACAAACAGCAUGAGGUGUGACAAAGUCUGCUGCCGAGCUCUAUAAACAGCACUGAGCGCUGAAACAAGCGCCAGGUUCUGUCAAAAAUGAAGGGGUCAGCAAAAUGCACCAGGCUGUGCAACCAGCCCAGUUCCCUCUAGCUCCAGCACAGACUCUUAUCUCCAGCCCUGACUGCCGAAACCCUCCAGCCCCAGCUCCAGCCCCUCAGGAGGGGACUGCGUGGGAGGAAUGACUCCAGCAAGCCGGCAGCUGACCCGUCUCCUGCCUGCACGCCUCCCGCUGUGGUCCACUGCCGGUGGUCUUCAGCUCUCUCCUCGUCCCACCCCCAUGGUCUGCUGACAGCCCAGCUCAGUGCAUCCCUGCCAUCUCUGCUCUACCGCUGGUCCUCCCAACAACCAACUUACAGGUUUGGGGGCACACGUGAAGGUUUGACAUAUAGUAAACACAUGUCAUGGUGGUUUGUUGUACAGAUUAUUACAUCACCCAGGUACUAAGCCCAGUACCCAAUAGUUGUCUUUUCUGCUCCUCUCCCUCCUCCCGCCCUCAAGAAGACCCCCGUGUCUGCACUUUCCUUCUUUGUGUUCGUAAGUUCUUAUCAUUUAGCUCCCAAUGCUUUCCAUUCUUUUAGAUAUAUGUGCCCUUGGCAUUUUUGCCCUUUUGGGCCCCUUCUUCCAGCAAAUAAUAAUAAUAGUAAUAAUUAAUUCUAUUUUACAACUAUUGGUAUAAAGACAAAUAUAUUAAUUUUUUUUUUUUUUCCGAGACAGGGUUUCACUCCCGUCACCCAGACUGGAGUACAAUGGUGCGAUCUCAGCUCACUGCAACCUCUGCCUCCUGGGCUUAAGCGAUUCUCCUGCCUUGGCCUCCCAAGUAGCUGGGAUUACAGGUGCCUGCCACCACUCCUGGCUAAUUUUUGUAUUUUUUGUAAAGGCGGAGUUUCUCCAUGUUGCCCAGGCUAGUCUCAAACUCCUGAGCUCAAGCAAUCCACCCGCCUCGGCCUCCCAAAUAAGUGGAAUUAUAGGUGUGAGCCACCACGCCGGCCCUGAUGUAUCAAUAUUAAAACAUUUUCUUCAGCCUACAAGUUCUUCUUUUUCUUAUUUGGAUGCAAACUAAAACAUUUUGUGGGCCCUUAGAUUGAACAUUCUCAUGGGUCCUGUGCCUCCUGUGCGUCAUGGAGAAGGCAGCCCUGCAUGGCUCUCACAUCCUCUUCCCCCACGCAAAUG
rnacentral:lncRNA from 1 species